UACGGAGGGGGCUAGCGUUGUUCGGAAUUACUGGGCGUAAAGCGCGCGUAGGCGGAUCUGCAAGUCGGGGGUGAAAUCCCGAGGCUCAACCUCGGAACUGCCUUCGAUACUGCGGGUCUCGAGUCCGGGAGAGGUGAGUGGAAUUCCUAGUGUAGAGGCGAAAUUCGUAGAUAUUAGGAAGAACACCAGUGGCGAAGGCGGCUCACUGGCCCGGUACUGACGCUGAGGCGCGAAAGCGUGGGGAGCAAACAGG
rnacentral:rRNA from 1 species